UGAAUUUGAACUACAUUCCAGGACGAUUUCCAAAAGUUCUGUACAAUUGUACAAAGCUUCAGUACUUGGACCUGUCACAGAAUUUUUUUGUCGGUCCAAUACCUGAUGAUAUUGAUAAAUUAUCAGGUCUCAGGUAUAUACACCUCGGAGAUAAUAACUUCACAGGCAGUAUUCCACCACAGAUAGCGAACCUGACAGGGUUGCAGACAUUGCGUCUGUUUGGGAAUCAGUUCAACGGCACGUUUCCUAAGGAGAUUGGUAAGCUUUCCAAUCUUGAAGAGCUGGGAUUGGCGUAUAAUGAGUUUGUGCCCUCUUCAAUUCCUGUGGAGUUCGGUCAGCUAAAGAAGUUGAGGUAUUUGUGGAUGACACAAGCGAAUUUGAUUGGUGAAAUACCGGAGAGCUUGGCCAAACUUUCAAGUCUUGAGCACUUGGAUUUAGCUAUAAACGAUUUGGAAGGUAAGAUUCCUGAUGGGUUGUUUUCGUUGAAGAAUUUGACUUAUUUGUAUCUCUUCCACAAUAAGUUGUCUGGUGAGAUACCUCAGAGAGUCGAAACGUUGAAUUUGGUGGAGAUUGAUCUUGCAAUGAACCAAUUAAAUGGUUCGAUUCCAGAAGAUUUUGGCGAGUUGAAGAAAUUGCAAAUUCUGAGUCUGUUUGAGAAUCACUUUUCAGGUGAGGUACCUGCAAGUGUUUGGACAGCCUCCAAUAUGACUUACUUGAUGUUAAGUGACAAUUCCUUUUCGGGGGGGCUUCCGAGCAAGCUGUCAUGGAAUUUAUUAUUGUUGGAACUCAGCAACAACAGAUUUUCUGGUGAGGUACCUGCAGGUGUUUGGACAGCAUCCAAUAUGACUUACUUGAUGUUAAGUGACAAUUCCUUUUCAGGGGGACUUCCGAGCAAGCUGUCAUGGAAUUUGUUAUGGUUGGAACUCAGCAACAACAGAUUUUCUGGUCCGAUUCCUCCUGGAAUCUCUAGCUGGGUGAACUUGGUUGAUUUCAAGGCGAGCAACAAUCUUCUUUCUGGUGAAAUUCCUGUGGAAAUAACGAGUCUGCCUCACCUUUCACAUCUGCUGCUUGAUGGAAAUCAAUUUUCAGGUCAACUCCCAUCCAAGAUAAUAUCCUGGAAGUCAUUGACUGGUUUAAAUCUCUCAGGAAAUGCACUUUCUGGCCAGAUCCCAAAGGAGAUUGGGUCUUUACCUGACCUGCUUUAUUUAGAUUUGUCUCAAAACCAUUUUUCUGGUGAAAUCCCUGUUGAAUUUGACCAGUCGAAACUUAUUUUUCUCAACUUGUCCUCCAAUCAUCUAUCUGGGAAAAUCCCAGAUCAGUUUGAUAACCUUGCCUAUGAUAACAGCUUCCUGAACAAUUCUAAUCUCUGUUCUGUUAAUCCAAUUCUAAACUUUCCAAAUUGCUAUGCUAAACAUCGCGAUUUUAAAACUCUUGCCUUGAUUCUGGUUCUUACGGUGACCAUUUUUCUAGUCACUACGAUAGUCACCUUGUUUAUGGUGAGGGACUACCAAAGAAAGAAGGCAAAACGUGAUCUGGCAGCAUGGAAGCUGACCUCAUUCCAGAGAUUGGACUUCACAGAAGCAAACAUUUUGGCAAGUUUGACAGAAAAUAAUCUGAUUGGAAGUGGAGGAUCGGGGAAGGUAUACCGGGCGGCCAUAAACCGUGCAGGUGACUGCGUUGCUGUCAAGAGGAUUUUGAAUAAUGAAAAAAUGGAUCACAAUAUUGAAAAGGAAUUUUGGCAGAGGUUCAGAUACUGGAACAAUUAGGCAUGCAAACAUAAAUUAUUGUGCUGUUUUCAAGUGAGAGCUCAAAGUUUUGUUUAUGAGUUCAUGGCGAACCAAGAGCCUUGAUAGGUGGCUUCAUGGAGAAGAAAAGUUCAUCGAUGGGAAACAAGUUCAGUCCAUUCUGUUUUGGAUUGGCCCACAAGGUCCAGAUUGCCAUUGGAGCUGCACAGGCCUAAGCACAUGCACAUGACUGCUCCACUCCUAUCAUUCAUCGAGACGUGGUCUAGUAAUAUCUUGUUGGAUUCUGAAUUGAAGGCAAGAAUAGCAGAUUUUGGACUGCCAGAAUAUUGGCUAACAAGGAGAGGUUCAUACCAGUGUUGUAGCAGGUUCUUCGGUUAUAUGGCCCCUGGUAAGAUCAUUCAACAACUUCAAUGUGCUUAUCAAGUAUAUUCACUCUUCAUUUAUUCCAACUCAGAAUUUUGAGAUCACACCACACAUUUAAAUCUAUUUUCCUCAUUUUUAUGCAGAGUAUGCCUAUACGACAGGGUGAAUGAAAAGAUAGAUGUCUAUAGCUUUGGAGUUGUACUCCUGGAAUGGCGACUGGAAGAGAACCUAAGUGGAGAUGAGCAUACCAGCCUUGCAGAGUGGCAUGAGCAGUUUGGACAGGGAAAGCCUGUUGUUGAUUGCCUUGACCAGGAGAUUACGGAACCCUGUUUCUUGCAAGAAAUGACCACUGUAUUCAACCUAGGACUCAUUUGCACGCACUCCUUGCCAUCCACCAGACCUUCUAUGAAGGAUGUUUUGGAGAUUCUGCGUCGAGGUUAAGCAGACAGUAAUGGAGAGAAAACGACAGGUGCCGAGCUUGAUGUUGUUCCUCUUCUUGGAACAGCUACUUCUCUUUCUGCCACAACACAGCACGAGACUGCCAUAUGAUAAUAACAAUUUAGUGUCAAACGACUGCAGAACCGGAUUCAAUUUAGUGCAGCGAACCUUAAAAGAGGAGCUUGAUCAUGGAGAUAUUAAAUUAUUGGGUACUGGUUAGUGAAACACUUCCCACAAAAAUCAAUUUUUUGUAAAAUUAUUAACUGAUACUAGAAUUGGCAAUAUCGUAUUUUUUUGGGUUUGUGCAAUAGUUACAACGCCAGAGUUUAAAAUAUUCAUAGGAAAUGUUCAUUAACACUAGAGUCGAGAACAUGAUAGGAAGAACAAAAAAAAAAGAACAAAUUCUUAGUAAUUUUAGACAAAAAAUUGUCACACGUGUGCAGCGUUGCAGCGAAUGAUCCACCCUCAAGAUAUAUCGUGUCAUUGAAUUCCUGUCUUUUUUAGUGAAAAAAUGAAAUGGGAGUCGUCACCUAGUAUUUUGGUCACUAGAAACCUUAACUGGUCUCAGAAAUCGGUUUUGGAGAUUGGUUGCGUAAAGGGAAGGUAUUAGCAUCCCAACUAUGUCCUAUCUAAAGUAAAUUGCAUUGUUUUAUUUGUCUAAUAUAUGCUAUGAGUUUAUCGCAUAUGCUAUUGUUUUAUUACUUUUCUUACGAAUUACGAAUUUGGACAUGCCAUUAUUUACACUAGUUCAUUGUUUUAGUAAGUUGGUCUGUUUACUAUUUAAGAAAAUUUCUUCUCGAUAAGAAGAUCAUUAUCUUAUCGUGUAAAACCUAACUAUUCUAAAAUCAACAAAAAAAAAUCUUUUUAAUAUCGGGAAUACGUUUUACAUAUAAAUUCGUAAUCCCUUAUAUUAAAACAAAACAAAAUAUUUUUUUGGAAUUUUUGAAAUAUUGAUCAAAUUCUUGUGACUUUAAUAAAUUGGUUAUUAAAGUCAAAAUACAUGCUAAAACAUAGUUUUUGAAGUUUUCUUUGUUGUAUGAAAAUACAAUAUGAUUUUUAGCUUUGAGAUACUUGGCUGUAUGCAUGAAACAAAAAUAUUUUUUAUAUAUUUUGAAGAAAAUCGAGUAUUUUAAUGCUAGAUUUGUAUUUUUACAGUAUAAAAAUACAAACCAAUAUUAAGCAAAAUUUAGUAGAAAAACACAUGGAAAAAUUACAAUUUUUUUCAAAAAAAUAACUUUUUGAAUUUUUUUUAAAUUGAGCCAGACCCAAUCUAGCCAUUUUGGGUUGGGUCGGUGCUACCAUCCCAUUAAACAGUGGAUCUAUCCACUGUUCAUAUGCCAAAAUUGUGGCAUAAAUCAUUAUUAUACGCGUAAAACAACCCUCUAAAUAUAAAAAGGUAUCAAAAUGAUAUAAUUAAGACCCAAAUAAAUGAUAUUGAAAGAAAAAUAUAGGUAUGCAUGAUUGGAUAAUAUAAAAAGAUUACAUUCUAAACUUAAAACUCAUAUAUAAUAAGAUUAUUUUUUCAUGUACUGAAAAGAUGCAAAUUCAAGUUCAAAGUUAGCCUAUAAGCUGACAACGAACACCAUUAAAGACUUUAUUUAUUUACAUUACCAACUUAAACUCAAAUAACUCAAUAGUAACUCUUACAUUUAGUGGGUGUUUGGUUAAAGAAAAAGCAGGAUGUUUUGUUGGUAGGGCCCACUAAUAUUUGAGGCUACACCGCAGGUUUUGAGAAGCAACAAAAUGCUGCUUCUCAUGCUGCUGACCCGUUGUUAACAGUGGAGCCAUGUUCCACUGCACACUAUUCACUAAGUGAAUAGUGCGAGUGAAUUUUAAUUCACUCGCACUGUUCGCAUGAAUAGUUUUUUUUUUUUUUUUUGAAAAACUAGUAAACAAAUUUUUUUUUCUUGAAAAACUAGUAUAUUUAAUUAAUUGCACUCGUAUUGUUCACGUCAAUAUAUAUAUAUAUAUAUAUAUAUAUAUAUAUAUAUAUAUAUAUUUUUAAAAAAAAUUAGUUUAAGGUAAAUUAAAUUUAUUCGUACUUUAAUCUCAAUUUUAUUCCUGAAAACUAGCACUUAAUAUUAUUUAAUAACACUACAUAAAUUAGAAGGAUAUCGCGUAAUGACAUAGCAUUUGUGAAAUUUGAUCGCAAUUAUGUUAUUGCCGGGUCCGGCCCAGUAAAAAAAAAUUCAGUUUUUAUUUUUAUUUUAAUUGUGUUCUAUUUAAAAAAUUAGAAGGAAAUCGCUUGAUAACGUAACAAAAGAUUCAGUUUUUGUUGUUGUGCGCUUAAGAAACCAUGAAAAAUAUAGUUCUUAUUGGAUAUGUUUCGUAUGUGAUGACAUUACACAUAGUUUAAUGGAAUAAUAAAAAAAAAAUUGAUAUCAAUAUUAUUUAUUUUAUGAUGUAAUAACAGUAAUUAAAUUUACAAUAUUUAAAUUAAAAAUCAUUAGUAUUAAUAUAUAUAUAUAUAUUUUAAUUAUUUUAUAACCUCAAUUUGAAAAGCAGUUUUUUAACCAAACACAUUAAACUACUUUUUCUUCAACCUCAAUUUCAACCACAGUUUUAACCAAACACCUAUUUUUUCAAACCAACCUCAACUAAAAGUACUUUUUAUAAAACAACUUUUUUCAAAACACAACCACAAAAGCUACCGCAAUACCAAACACACUCUAUUAGUUAAUAACUUUUAUGUCAAAAAUUAAUAACUUUACUGUUGACUAUGCCAGACAACAAUAUAGAAAAAAUAAUAAAUAAAAUAAAAAGUAAAAAAAUUGUUUAUCGAUUCUCAAAAAAUUAUGUUUACAGACAAGGUUCACUUAAACAAUGUAAAACAACAUAAUUCAUUAUUAUUUAAUAUAAUUAUACUUAGAAUAGUAAUAUAAGUUCUCGAGAACAUAUUUAUCCUCCUUCGUCUUACUUCAAUUUUCUUUCUUUUUUUUCCGACAACCUACAACAGUCUACUUACCUAGGGAGAUGUACAUUGUUGUGGAAAAGAUAAAACGGCUAAGCAUCAAGUGAUUGGGCCUCCAGUUUUUUUAAAUUGGUAGGCUUCCUGGUGUCCGUACUGCAGGCAGUGCGGCCAUUCAAGGAUGCCAGGGGCUCCGAGCAUCAGUCUUAGCAACUUUGCUUGCAAUGGCGUUGCCUUUCUUCAAUGAAAUACUUGCACUUCUUGGGGCAGUUUCGUAUGGCCCCAUGACAGUCUAUUUCCCUGUGGAGAUGCACAUUGCCCAGAAUAAGAUUAAAAGGCUAAGCAUUAGGGGGUUGGCCCUUCAGCUUUUGAACCUCGUCUGCUUCCUUGUGUCCAUAGCUGCAGCGAGCGGUGCCAUCCAGGGUAUGGGUCACGGUCUUCGUGCCUCCAAGCCCUUCCAGUAUAAAGUGUGAUCCCUUUACGGUGCAGCCGUUGUUCAAUGGAUUGUAGUCAUGGGUCAUCAGCUAGGUCUGAAUCAAAUCUGUCACCAAUAAAUAGCCCAUAAAUCUUCCAUGUAAAAUUAACCCGUGAGUUCUAAAUGUGAAAGUGGCAAGUAAUUGAAUUAUAUAUGUUUCGGGUUUUUUUUUUUUUUAGGGAUGCCUCAACUAAAAAAAACCUUUUAAACUAACUAUAAAGUUAUUCUUGAUUCAAGUAACCAUAUUUUUUAUAUUUUUAAGUUUUUUUUAUAAUAAAAACUACAAGCUUACCAAAUUACAAUGAAAACCGCAAUUCUAUUUGUUUUUAAAUUUGUUGUUACAUGUCUACUAUUUUUACAAGCCUACUAAAUCUAUCAACCUACAAGAUAAACAAGCUUGGAAAACCUUGUGAACUUGAUUCAAUUGUAUAGUAAUUAUUGUUGUUUUUGUUGUUGUUUUCCUCUAUUUUGCAUCCUUUUUUAAAUAGAAAAAUUCAAAAUAAUUUCCAGUAAUUACUCACUCACCAUAUUUUAUUUAAGGUAACUUCAAGUAACUAUACGAUUCAUCUUAUUUAAUUUCUUGUUUUAAAAAUCUUGCACCAUAUAGACUCUUUAUACCUUUUUUCAGUACUCAUAUUACUGUUAUUUACUCAAAAAUGCUCAAAGCCCACUACUGUUCUGUAUUCAAGUUCGGCUUAUUUUUUCUGGUUCAGAUUUCGUAAAUUUUUGGUUAAUUUUAAUGUAUAACAGUACUCAUAUUACUGUUAUUUACUCAAAAAUGCUCAAAGCCCACUACUGUUCUGUAUUCAAGUUCGGCUUAUUUUUUCUGGUUCAGAUUUCGUAAAUUUUUGGUUAAUUUUAAUGUAUAACAGUAUGGUUUGCUUAAUAUCAUACUCUUAAAUUUUUCUAAUGUUAAGAUCAAUAUGCCUAAAAAAAGAAACCUAGAUACAUAUGCUGCGUGCUCUUUCUACAUCAACAUCAAAAGUGCAAGAAUGGAAUUAUUUUUUAUUUUUUUUUGUGGGCAUUCUUUGAGGCUCUUUAUAUAACUGUGAGGUGUAGAUUUAUGCUCCUUAAUUCAUCUACACAUUAAGCAUGAGAAGUAGCAGGGCUAUAUGUUUUAAUUUACCAAUUUAACGUAGAUUUUAUUUUUAUAAUUCAAAACACUGGGGGAGUUCAGUAGAUUUUCAAGAAUCUGGUUUGAAUCUUCGAGCCAUUUCAGCUAUUGAAGAUGUAGAUGAUGAUGGCAGACGAAGAAGAACUGGUACAUGCUCUCAUUGCUCCAAACUUUUGAAUUCAAUUGCAUGCAUACUCCACCACAUUUCCUUCGUGUUUACACUAUGCCUCACAUUGCAGAGGUUAAUCCAUAAUUUACAACAAUUAAAUAACUUUUGUAUAGAAAUUCAAGCAUAUAUUAGAAUGUUUAAUUAAAUACUACACAUAAAUCCAUACACAACUUAAAAUCCAAAUAAUCUUUAUGAUAUCAAAUAUGUUUCUGAACUUUAAACUUAAUAAUAGAGAAAAUAGCGCACAAUUUACCAUGCUAUAACAAAAACAAAUGCUAUAAAAUUAUUAAAUUACAUAUAUCUAAUACCCAAUAAAGCACAAAAAAUUAUUUAGUAAUAUUUACGAAAAUUACUUGAAUAAUAGUGCGCUUUUUUUAACAUUAAAAAAUAUAUAUUUAGGUGAUAAUGUUUUUUCUAGCAAAAAUAAAUAAAUUGUAUGAGAACUAAUUUGAUGUGAUAUAUAGUUGACUUAAUGGAUUAAAAGAUAAUCUGAAUUACCAAUAAAAAUAUAAUUUGAUUCAAAAUAAAUAUUCAAGAUGACAUUUUUUUAUAAAUAUUGAAAUGGAAAUAUAUUGGAUCGAUUUGGAUCAAACCGGGUUAACCUUUGCAUAUCGAGUUAUGGGACCAUAAUAACCCUAUAAAAACAAAUCAAAACAUAUUAUAAAGCUCAAUUUUCAAUAAACUCAAUGUUGAAGGAUGAAAUUUUAUUAAAAAAUCAAUUAAAAAAAUACAAAAAAAUAAUCUGAGUCAACUUGGGUUAACAUGUCAAACCAACAAACUAAGUCAUUAGAUCAGGAUAACUUAAUAGAAAGUAAAUUGAAAUAAAUUAUAAAGCUCAAUUAUUAUUAAACCCAAUGUCGAAAGAUGAAAUUGAAAAAAUAUUUGAUUAAAAAAAUAAUAUAAAAAACAACUCGAGUCAACCCGAGUUCACCCGCUAAACUUGUGACCUGGAUCAUGAGACGAGGAUAACCUCAUAGAAAAUAAACCAAAAUAAAUCAUGAAUUCUAAUUCUCAAUCAACUAAAUAUUGAUAGACAAAUUUGAGAAAAAAUAAUAAGGAAAAGGGGGAAAGUUCGAGUUAAACUCGUUAUUCAGAUCAUAAGAUUGAGAUAGUAUCAUAAAAAAUAAAAUAAAAAUUGGAAUUUUUGAAAUAUUUAUCAAAUUCUCGUGACUUUAAUAAACUGGUUAUUAAAGGCAAAAUGCAUUCUAAAAUAUAUUUUUUUAAGUUUUCUUUGUUGUAUAAAAAUACAAUAUGAUUUUUAGCUUGGAGAGACUUGGCCAUAUGCAUGAAACAAAAAUAUAUUUUUUUUUUAUGUUUUGACGAAAACUAGGUAUUUUAACAUCGGAUUUAUAUUUUUACGGUAUAAAAAUACAAAUUAAUAUUAAGCAAAAUUUAAUAGAAAAAUAGACGGAAAAAUUACAAUUCCCUACUCUUUUUUUCUAUGUUUCGGUUCGGUUUCCCUGUAGGGAGGCAUCAAAAUGAUAUAAUUGAGACCCAAAUAAAUGACAUUGAUAUAUUGCCAAAGAACUAAGUAAAAGACUCUCAAUUCAAACUUCUUUGCCAAAAGAUCUCAAUACAUGGUAUAAAUCCAUUAUAUACUUGGAACAACCCUCCAAGUAUAGGGAGGCAUCAAAAUGAUAUAAUUGAGACCCAAAUAAAUGACAUUGAUAGAAAAAUAUAGGUAUAUAUAAUUGGACAAUAUAAAAAAAUCACAUUCUAAACUUAAAACUCACAUAUAAUAAGAUUAUUUUUCUAUAUAGUAAAGAGAUGCAAGUUCGAGCUCAAAGUUAGCCUAUAGAAUGACAGAAAACACCAUGAAAAACUUUGUUUAUUUAUAUUACCAACUCAAACUCAAAAAACUCAAUAUUAGUAGGAUCAUUAGAGUAAACUCUUAUGUCAUCUUAUCAGUCUUAUUUAGUAUAAUUAAAUUGUGUGCUAUAAUCAAAAUUUGUAACAAAAGAAUACCCUCUAAGGCUCUAACUCUUGGCAAUAAGAAGUUGGAUCGUAACAUCAACUUUUCAAGGCUGAUAUGGAGAACAAUAUUUGUGGUGUUAGCAACUGUUAUUUCCAUGUUAUUUCCUAUCUUCAAUGUCAUGCUUGCACUCCUCGGCCUCUGCUGGCGGUGGAGCUGAUAUUGGCCUUUGAAAAAAAUAAAAUGGAUUUGGGUCCUCCAUAAUGGCAUAGUUUUAAGACCCGGUCCGGUGGUCGGCCCCGUCCAAGGUCCGGGUUUCGAGUUUUGACCGGGUCGCCGGGUCUUGACCGGGAUGGCCGGGUCAAUUUUAUUUAUUAUUUUUAAAAAAUCAAAACGACGUUGUUUUAGUAAAAAAAAACAAAAAAAAAGUCAACAGGUUUGCGGCCGGGUCAGCCAGGUCACACCGGGUUUUUCCUUCCUUCAUUUUUUUUUCAACCUAGCCCGGUUCCAACCCUGGAUCGGCCAGGUCCCGGGUUGGCCAGCCAGGCCGAGCCGAGUUUCAAAACUAUGCAUAAUGGUGUCCAUACCGCAGGCAGUGCGGCCAUUCAAGGAGUGUUAGGGUCUUCGAGCAUCGGUCUUAGCAUUUUUUAAAAAUAUAUAUAUAUUUUUUAUUUAUUUGAAUUAUUUUUAGGUAUUUUCAUAUUAUUUUGAUAGGUUAAUAUUUAAAAUAAUUCUUUUAAAAAUAUAUUAUUUUAAUAUAUUUUUAAAUAAAAAAUAUUUUAAAAAAAACUAUUAUCACGCUUUUCAAUAUUUAUUAAAAAGUAAGAUGGAAAAAUAAUGACAUCAUCCGAACGUGUUUCACCCUUGCACUUCCUUUGCUUUGUUUGGAAGGGGAAAAGUCAUGAUGGGAGCAAUUCUUAUCUAUAUUGAAUAUUGACUUCGUGUAUGGUGUGGUUGAAGGCAUGAUGCAUCGGAGACUACCCAGCCGGCAACAAAGGAAAAACGUGUUGCUUUUGAAAAUUUGAACUGCAAUUUUCCCUGUCCUUUUCUGGAAAGCAUAGAAAUUGGGCAAGCUAAACAUCACUAUCUUCUCGAAAGAAAGAAAGAAAAUUAGACGGGAGUGGAGAGUUUCAAGGUUUUUUUUUUUUUUUUUCAUUUUCUAUGUUCACAUUCUGUUUUCUAAAGCAAUCAAAAUAUAUUUUCUUUCUUUGGUGAUGCAGAAUAUGACUAUCAAAUAAUCAGCUUACCUACCAUCUACAAGUUAAAAAAGUUUGGACCUUUACUCAUCCACCAGCAUAACCCUUGAUAAAGCCUUCGUUUACCUAUAGGUUAGGGCAACACCCACAAUCCAAUUAACCUUCUAGCUAGCUAAUUUUACCAUAUUAUUUUAUUGAUAGUAUUCUUAUUGUAAUAGAUAUGAUUGAUAUUGGUUCAAAAAUACUCUAAAUGUUGUUUAUUAAUUAAAAACAAACAAACAAAAAAAAAGACAUGAAAAUGGUUGGCCAAACCUGAUAUUAGUCUCUAAACUAUCAAUCUUCUCAGUUGGGUCACCAAAGUAUUAGGCAUUCCACAAUUGAGCCCCGUCUAUAUUGUUAAUGGUUUCCAUGUAAAUCACACUAAAUAGGCUUUUUUUGGAGGAAAACUGAAUGUUUUCUGUAAAAAAAAGAAUUUAUAAACGGAACCCUAUUAAAAUAUGCAUGCUACAUUAGGGAUCCGAUUGAAAAGUUCAAUAGUUUGGGUCCAUUUUGAGAAUCAGUUUACGAGGAAUAAUUUGAGGUUUGUCAAUAAUAUUUUGGAAGACAAAUAGCAAUCCAAACAAGGUAAUAUAGCUUGUACAAACAACAUCAAUACUGUAACAUAGUUUAAUGGUAAAUUAUCUCCUUGCUAUCAAGAUUUAUAGGUCUUAUCAUAAGUUUAAAGUGCAUCCUCUUAUAUUCUGGAAAAAUUAAUAAAUUCUGAUGGAUAUUAAUUCAAGAUUUAAAUGAAAAAAUUAAAACAUAUUUAACCACAAACCAACCCUUUAAAAAAAAAUCGUUGGAAAAACACACACAGCAUGUGAAGCUGACUUUAUGGAUCUACAUUCAAUGAUUUUAAGCUUUUUAUAGUGAAAAUGAAGUGCCUUAAACCACACGCAGACAUCUAGAAGGCAAGGGUAUAGGAUUUUAAAUUUCCACUAAUUAUUGGGGACCUCCCCUUUGGUUUAACAUGCUGAAUGAUGACCGUUCCAUUUUGUUUUGUUUUAUUAAGGUCACUAACGACUCUUAUUAUUAUUAUUAGACUGACACAGUGGUCCAGCAAAAAUCCACAAACAAUAUUAAAAAAAAAAAACUGUGACAUAUAUAUGUAGACAAGAAACAUGAACUGGUGUGCGUGUAAUCAGGCGCGCGAUUUGAGAUUACUUCUGAUCACUAUAGAUGUCGUCUUCCUUCUAGCUAAAUUGGAACUCUUGGAUUCAAGUACAAAAACCAGCUUGCAUGUGCCAAUUUCUACUCAAACAACUCUAGCAUUAAUUCAAUAGUCUGGGGGAUUUCUUUGACUUGCGAUGUUUCUGUGGGCCGGGCAAGGCCACUGUCAGGCAUUUGCGACUCUCAUUUCAUGACCUGUCCCCAGCCAUUGCAUCUGGAGGCUAGCUCAGACUCCUGCACUCAACAAAGUCAGUGAUAGAACACAGCUAAUUACCCAUAAACCUAAUUUUAAUGGACUCAGAAAGCAAGGUCUAAAAAAUAAAUAUUUUACGGGCUCGGGCUACCAUAUAUGAGCUAAAUUUUUAUGAAGUUGUUUAGGCUCGGACAUGGGAGCUUAUAUCUCGGUUUAAUCUUUAAACUCGGGGGAUGAAAUCAAAUUUUAUUGUUAUUAAUUUCAGUUCUUAAUUGGUGGGUCUAUACUUUCACUAAUUUAGUGAGAGUUCAAUCUAGAAUGAUUAAAAUAGAUUUUCUAGCUUAGAGUGAUAAAAUAUUAUUCCCGUAGAAUGCCUCAAUAUUCUUUCCUUCAUUCAUUAAGAAAAUAACAUACGGUCCAAGACGUGGCCACCACCACCAUUAAAGAGAGUGGAUCUUUGCGUCCUUCCAGCCCACCUCAAGUAGAAAAUAGAUAGAUACAUCCAAAAGCAAUAUAAUGGUUUUCAAUUUCAGAAGUUUGACCGAAGACUUAGAUAAGAAUAGUCAACAUUGUGCAGCGAAUCAAAGCCAUUGAGUAAAGGAAACCCAGAGGCAUGAACCUUCCUUCCCAGUCGCUGCCUCGUGCCUCUUUUACGUGACCAGACUAAUCCAUGUGUUGACUGUUGACCAAAGAACCCAUUUGUGUACCAGCUCAUUACAAAACUGCCCCUGAACACCUCAAGAACUACAGAAUUAUCCCUUGAGAACAUAAGUAUACCGUUGAAGUUAUUACUAGUUAGUCAUAGCAGCUUGGUUAAGUAGCUAUCAACCUCAGUCAACUUUUCUCUCCUUACAAAAGUUGUUGCGUUUUACAACCUAAUCCAUGAUAGUGAAAGGAAACCAUGGGCUUUUCCUCCAUUAUCCGUGUGAUCCACUUUUGUUUAUUGCGUGUUUUGUGUUUUGUAUUGUUGUAAUUUUUAAAAAAUAUUUUUAAUUGUGAUUUAAAAAAAAAAUAGUUAAAACUGUUGUGAAAUAAAUUUUUAAAUAUAAAAUAAAUAAAAAUAUAUAUUAAAACAAUUCAAACAUGUUAUUUUAACUUUUAUAAAAUUAAGAUUUAUAAACGUGAUUAUAUACAAAGUAAGUACAAAAAACAAAAUUUAUUUAACUAAAUAAAUAGUUGGUUUUAAUGAUUGAGCAAAAAAAUCAGAGCUACAACGUUAUUAGCAUUUGUUUUUUUUCUUAAAUAUAAAUUUUUAUUAUCCAUUCUUACUAAAACAAAUUUGAUAAAUAUUUUAUAAAAAUUAUUAUACAUGUUGUGUAUCAAAGGGUUUUUAAAUUUAAAUAAAAGGAAGUUUUUUUCUUAGAGAAAAUUCUAGGAAAUUAUCAUGUAGAUUUUUAAAAAACUUUUAUGAUCUCAUAGUAUCAUUCACUUUUCAAGUCCACUCAAAGACAAGUUAUAUAUAUAAACACACCUUAUAUUUAAAUUGUGGUGGGCUGUAUCUAAAAACAAUGGCAUGUUUAUCGUCAUACUUUGAAGUUUACCAUUUGCUCAUAUCCUGACAUCUCUACUACAGUGAUACCCUUCAAUGCCAAGCUAGUUACCAUGGCAAAUCAUUCACUUUUAUUCUUGUAUUUUAAAAUAUUUUAAAAAAAUUGAAAAAAAUUUAUUUUUUAUGCCAUGAGAUUAUUCUGAAGCACUGAUAUUAAAAAAAAUUAAAAAUUAAUAUAUUUUCAAGUAAAAAAUAUUUUAAAAAAUAAUUGUUAAUAUAAUACUACACACAAGUAUCAACAUAUAAUGACUAAUGAUAUAAUGCAUUUAAAUUAUUUUUUAAUUGAAAAAAUAUUAAAAUAUAUAUUUUAAUAUAUCAAAAUCUCUCUUAUUUUUAAUAUUAAAUUAUUAAAAUUAUCAAGAAAAUAUCUCAAAAAAUUUAUUUAAUGUUUACAGACUAAAUAUAAUUUUAAAACUAUUUUAAAAGCACAGAGCAUCAAAUGACAAACGGUCACCUAAUUUAAAGUAAUUGAUCAGUGAAAGAACCACAAACUUUUAGUAGUCGUUGACUCAUCAAAUCACUUUCAGUGGUGCCUAUGUAAUUAUUGUCGCUGUGAAUGUCAUUUCGCUCACCGGAUUUAUACCCAACAUCUCCCCUCAUCUUCCUUCGCCAAAUGCCAACCACAUUUCAAAUCCUGCCGUUAAGCCUCGCCCUUCUCUUCCCGGCAAAAUAAACCCAACCGGAAAAACCACCUGAAACCCUUCAGGAUGUCCGAAUUAACCAUCCUAUUUCUCAGAACUUCACCCCUCCUCUGCGUUCUAGUCCUACUUUCCCUGCCCUUCAAAGUAAUUUCCCAAGAUGCCAACACUGAAAAAACUAUCCUUCUAAACCUGCAACAACAACUUGGCAAUCCAUCGUCCAUUCAGUCCUGGAACUCAUCAUCCUCACCGUGUAAUUGGACAGGGGUAACCUGUGGAGACGAUGGCUCGGUGUCUGGACUUGACCUAGGUGUUAAAAACAUCACAGAAAAAAUCCCAGCAACAGUUUGUGACCUGAAAAACCUGACAUUUCUCGACAUGAAUUUGAACUACAUUCCAGGAGGAUUUCCAAAAGUUCUGUACAAUUGUACAAAGCUUCAGUACUUGGACCUGUCACAGAAUUUUUUUGUCGGUCCAAUACCUGAUGAUAUUGAUAAAUUAUCAGGUCUCAGGUAUAUAAACCUCGGAGCUAAUAACUUCACAGGCAAUAUUCCACCACAGAUAGCGAACCUGACAGGGUUGCAGACAUUGGUUCUGUUUCAGAAUCAGUUCAACGGCACGUUUCCUAAGGAGAUUAGUAAGCUUUCCAAUCUUGAAGACCUGGAAUUGGC
rnacentral:lncRNA from 1 species